GGGACACGUGGUAUCCUGUCUGAAUAUGGGGGGACCAUCCUCCAAGGCUAAAUACUCCUGACUGACCGAUAGUGAACCAGUACCGUGAGGGAAAGGCGAAAAGAACCCCGGCGAGGGGAGUGAAAAAGAACCUGAAACCGUGUACGUACAAGCAGUGGGAGCACAGAGCAAUCUGUGUGACUGCGUACCUUUUGUAUAAUGGGUCAGCGACUUAUAUUCUGUAGCAAGGUUAACCGAAUAGGGGAGCCGAAGGGAAACCGAGUCUUAACUGGGCGUUAAGUUGCAGGGUAUAGACCCGAAACCCGGUGAUCUAGCCAUGGGCAGGUUGAAGGUUGGGUAACACUAACUGGAGGACCGAACCGACUAAUGUUGAAAAAUUAGCGGAUGACUUGUGGCUGGGGGUGAAAGGCCAAUCAAACCGGGAGAUAGCUGGUUCUCCCCGAAAGCUAUUUAGGUAGCGCCUCGUGAAUUCAUCUCCGGGGGUAGAGCACUGUUUCGGCAAGGGGGUCAUCCCGACUUACCAACCCGAUGCAAACUGCGAAUACCGGAGAAUGUUAUCACGGGAGACACACGGCGGGUGCUAACGUCCGUCGUGAAGAGGGAAACAACCCAGACCGCCAGCUAAGGUCCCAAAGUCAUGGUUAAGUGGGAAACGAUGUGGGAAGGCCCAGACAGCCAGGAUGUUGGCUUAGAAGCAGCCAUCAUUUAAAGAAAGCGUAAUAGCUCACUGGUCGAGUCGGCCUGCGCGGAAGAUGUAACGGGGCUAAACCAUGCACCGAAGCUGCGGCAGCGACACUAUGUGUUGUUGGGUAGGGGAGCGUUCUGUAAGCCUGUGAAGGUGUACUGUGAGGUAUGCUGGAGGUAUCAGAAGUGCGAAUGCUGACAUAAGUAACGAUAAAGCGGGUGAAAAGCCCGCUCGCCGGAAGACCAAGGGUUCCUGUCCAACGUUAAUCGGGGCAGGGUGAGUCGACCCCUAAGGCGAGGCCGAAAGGCGUAGUCGAUGGGAAACAGGUUAAUAUUCCUGUACUUGGUGUUACUGCGAAGGGGGGACGGAGAAGGCUAUGUUGGCCGGGCGACGGUUGUCCCGGUUUAAGCGUGUAGGCUGGUUUUCCAGGCAAAUCCGGAAAAUCAAGGCUGAGGCGUGAUGACGAGGCACUACGGUGCUGAAGCAACAAAUGCCCUGCUUCCAGGAAAAGCCUCUAAGCAUCAGGUAACAUCAAAUCGUACCCCAAACCGACACAGGUGGUCAGGUAGAGAAUACCAAGGCGCUUGAGAGAACUCGGGUGAAGGAACUAGGCAAAAUGGUGCCGUAACUUCGGGAGAAGGCACGCUGAUAUGUAGGUGAAGUCCCUCGCGGAUGGAGCUGAAAUCAGUCGAAGAUACCAGCUGGCUGCAACUGUUUAUUAAAAACACAGCACUGUGCAAACACGAAAGUGGACGUAUACGGUGUGACGCCUGCCCGGUGCCGGAAGGUUAAUUGAUGGGGUCAGCGCAAGCGAAGCUCUUGAUCGAAGCCCCGGUAAACGGCGGCCGUAACUAUAACGGUCCUAAGGUAGCGAAAUUCCUUGUCGGGUAAGUUCCGACCUGCACGAAUGGCGUAAUGAUGGCCAGGCUGUCUCCACCCGAGACUCAGUGAAAUUGAACUCGCUGUGAAGAUGCAGUGUACCCGCGGCAAGACGGAAAGACCCCGUGAACCUUUACUAUAGCUUGACACUGAACAUUGAGCCUUGAUGUGUAGGAUAGGUGGGAGGCUUUGAAGUGUGGACGCCAGUCUGCAUGGAGCCGACCUUGAAAUACCACCCUUUAAUGUUU
rnacentral:rRNA from 1 species